AUUGUUAAAGGCAAAUCCGCCGUAAGGCGGAGACGCAAAGCCAAUGAGCCCGCCAACGAUAUGUGGCGAGGUAGUCAGGUUGCCAAAG
rnacentral:ncRNA from 1 species